UGAUGACGAUGAGAUGACGAUGAUGGUGAUGCUGCUGCUACUGCUAGUGGUGAUCAUCAUCAUCAUCAUCAUCAUCAUUGGGU
rnacentral:pre_miRNA from 1 species